GGAAAUAGGAGUUCUAUGAGAGAGACAGGAUCAUCUGGUUUAGCUGCUCAUUAUAAUUAUCCUGUGAAAGAAGAUGUACAAAUACUACUGUAUAAAGAAGUACAAGGCUUGUACAUUGAAAAUUAUGAAACAUUGUUGGAAGAAGUUAAAGAUCUAAAGAAAUGGAAAGACAUCCCAUGUUCAUGAAUUGGGAGGCUUAGUAUUCAUAAGAUAGAAGUACUCCCCAACAUGAUGAAUUUAACAUAGUCCCUACCACAAG
rnacentral:lncRNA from 10 species